GGCCUUCUAGGUAUCUAAUUAAUGGACCAAGUAUUGAAUCCAUAUUUGGGCCUUUUCAUCAUUGCCUAAUAGUUGGACUGGAUCAAAUGGCAUCACAGCCCAACAGAUCUCCACCUUGAUGCCAGUGAUCAUACAAGAAGCCUAAUAAAUGUAAAACACAAUUUAAAUGUCCUUCUCAAGAAGACAGCUUCCCAGCAUUCUCAACAAGCAUCAACCUUAGCACCUGUACAAAACAAAACACUUAACCAGCAUCAAUGUUCAAAAUUUGUAAACAAGAUUUAAACUUGUUUAAAG
rnacentral:lncRNA from 1 species